CGCCUAACACAUGCAAGUCGAACGAGCGAGAGAGAGCUUGCUUUCUCGAGCGAGUGGCGAACGGGUGAGUAACGCGUGAGGAAUCUGCCUCAAAGAGGGGGACAACAGUUGGAAACGACUGCUAAUACCGCAUAAGCCCACGGUGCCGCAUGGCACAGAGGGAAAAGGAGUAAUCCGCUUUGAGAUGGCCUCGCGUCCGAUUAGCUAGUUGGUGAGGUAACGGCCCACCAAGGCGACGAUCGGUAGCCGGACUGAGAGGUUGAACGGCCACAUUGGGACUGAGACACGGCCCAGACUCCUACGGGAGGCAGCAGUGGGGAAUAUUGCACAAUGGGGGAAACCCUGAUGCAGCGACGCCGCGUGGAGGAAGAAGGUCUUCGGAUUGUAAACUCCUGUUGUUGGGGAAGAUAAUGACGGUACCCAACAAGGAAGUGACGGCUAACUACGUGCCAGCAGCCGCGGUAAAACGUAGGUCACAAGCGUUGUCCGGAAUUACUGGGUGUAAAGGGAGCGCAGGCGGGAAGACAAGUUGGAAGUGAAAUCUAUGGGCUCAACCCAUAAACUGCUUUCAAAACUGUUUUUCUUGUGUAGUGCAGAGGUAGGCGGAAUUCCCGGUGUAGCGGUGGAAUGCGUAGAUAUCGGGAGGAACACCAGUGGCGAAGGCGGCCUACUGGGCACCAACUGACGCUGAGGCUCGAAAGUGUGGGUAGCAAACAGGAUUAGAUACCCUGGUAGUCCACACCGUAA
rnacentral:rRNA from 1 species